UACAGAGGGUGCGAGCGUUGUCCGGAAUUACUGGGCGUAAAGGGCGCGUAGGCGGUCUGCUAAGUUGGAUGUGAAAACUCUGGGCUUAACCCAGAGCCUGCAUUCAAUACUGACAGGCUAGAGUUCUGGAGGGGAUAGCGGAAUUCCUGGUGUAGCGGUGAAAUGCGUAGAUAUCAGGAGGAACACCGGUGGCGAAGGCGGCUAUCUGGACAAUUGCUGACGCUCAGGCACGAAAGCGUGGGGAGCAAAAGGG
rnacentral:rRNA from 1 species